rnacentral:misc_RNA from 1 species
CGUUGCCCGCCGGACGACGUCGAGAUGACCGUUCGUCACCGGGUCGAACGAGCCGGGAUAGACCGCGACGCUCAUCCGUCCUCCUGGCGCCGGUAGAACGUCAGGGCCGUCUCACCGAACCGGCGCUCGCGCUCCGAUGCUAGCAGCCCGACGGACUCCGGCGGGCGGUCCCGCCAGAAGUGCUUCGCAACGACGCGAGCGUUCGGCGACAGGAGACCGGACACCACACCGA